rnacentral:lncRNA from 1 species
AGAAGCCAACAGAUACUUGUUUUUAUUUCUUGGCUGACUUAAUUGCUCCUGAAGCUAAUAGCAUAAAAAAGCCACUUACAUAAAGUAAGCAAUUGAGAUGGAAGUUCUAGAGACAUAUUGAUCUUACACAUUGGCAAUUUCCAUAUGGGGAUGGUCAGCAGAUGAAGGCUCCAGAAGCAUUUUGGGAUUUGUUCAUUGACUAUUUCUGCAUUUCCUUUACCAGAGGCAAAGGAAGACCUGGUAACUGGUGAAGACCCAUGCCACGCCUGUGGUUGCUUUGGAUACAUAGCCUUUGAUUUUGUUAGGAAUCAAGUAAAAAUGUUCUCCCAGAACAAGAGCUUUCCUGUGCUGAAAAGAGACCCUCUUUUCUUCAGAGAGAAAGAAUAUCUGAAAAAAUGACAGAAAAUGACAUCUGGUGCCCUGCCUAUCAAAAGAGGACAAGCAAGGAGCAAGAACUCAGAUAAUCCCUGGGCCAAUUAUCCAGGACCUGCACAGAAAGGCAUCCUAAUGAAGACUUGCUGAAGGAAUGAAUAAGUGGGUGACCAUUGUAUGCAGGCAAACUUGUGAGAACCUGCUGAGAUAUUAAUGCAUCCUAAGGUUUUAAGGUAAGCAUUCAUCCUGGAAUUCAUCUAUUCCAUGCUGCUUCUCCUGUCCCCACUUCCCUAUCACAUACUGCCUCCUGCCACCAGCUUUCUUGGUAAUGUUUUUGGAAAAAUUUUUUCUUGCAAACUUUGUAAGUAGAUUACAUCAUUUUAAUGAUUUUAUUCACAUAUUGAGUGGAUAUUUAUAUAGCCAUAAAUCAGCAAUGCCUUGCCUACUAAGUUAAAAAAGUAUGCCUGUGAAAUUGGUUAUAAUGUAGCUCAUUUAUAAACUUCCAAUGUAAAGACUGUGAUGAGCAGAAUUUUGCCAUACUUCAAACCAACAACAGCGGACACACACUGAAAUUCUCUAUAGGUUUAUUUUGGGCCUUCCCAAGUAUAAUAACCAUAAAAAUUAAUUCUCACAGACCCUAAAGUGCCUGAUGAUUAUUUGCAAUUUUUUUCUUCCAAGUUUGAGAUGGUGGGAUUCCCUGUUAAUUUAGCCUAUUUCUUCUUUCCACAUAAAUCCCUUUGAAUGUUAGGUUGCUUCUGCUUAAAAAAGAUAAGAAUCAUAGUUCUUGUCUCAUUCUAGAAUAUGUAUAAAUUUUAAGACUUUGGACAGGAAAGAGAUUGAGAGUAGACCACAGAAAUAAUCAGCACUACAUGAUUUCAAAGCCAUGGCAUCUGAAUUUUUGUUUUAGUUUUCUCCAUAGUCUUCAUUUAAGUCUAGAAAGAAUUUUUUUAUAAAAGAGCUUAAAUAUAAUUUAAGUUUAGGUUGUAACUUACUCAUAUAGCUCAUCACCAAACAAUAUAUGGCCUUGAGGGUUUCAAUUUUAAACAUAGUACAAGAGCUAAGGAUAUAAGAAAAAAGUCAGCAUGUACAAAUAUGUUAAGACAAUUUAUAUAAUGAUAUGAGAUCAUGGAUAUACUCCCAAUAACAGGUGAAAUUUAUAUUUAAUACAAUAUUUUGAAGGAAUUUGAUUAAAAUUCCAUAUAUACUAGUAAUGGUGACACAAUAUUCUCUUUAAAGUAGGAAAAGGCAAAACGAGGAAAGAACAGGCCUGUGAUCUUUUAUCCUCAUUCUGAAAUCCUUAAAUCUCUAAAAAGCUGAAAUCUUUCUCAUUUGGCAACACAACCUGUGUGGAAUGAAAGUCUUUAUUUAUCCUGCUUGUUGUAAAUAUUUAUGUAUUUUGUGGUAAAAACAGAUUGAUUAUGAGAAUCCAGCUAUCUUCUCUUAAGCCAGAAAUUAAAGAGAUUUGCAAAAACAUGAAAUAAUAAACAUACAGAAAUCAGGGUGGAAUAGGGAUGUAUCACAACGGAACAUCUGUUCAUUGCUGAGGCUGGUAAUAGAGAUGUGAGAGGGCUGUCAAUAUGUUAUACUUCAGACUUCUGUGUGUAAUUAUAAAUUAACAGCAAAUAAAAAUUAAAUGAAGUAAUUGAAUAAAAGUUUAAAACGUAACAAAAAGUUAAACCAAACAAACAAUAAAAAAGAUUUAGAAAAUUUAGAGGAACUGCCCUUUACUAUAGUCUUUCUUAGUCACGUUUACUUGUAAUAAAUAUUGCCCCAGUGACACAUGUACUUUAAAAUGAGAUUUCUUUCAUUAUCAUUUCCUCUUAUUAUCAAACUUCUCCCACCAACUUUCCCCCUCAAAUUAGAACUCAUAAUGGGCAACAUACAUUUAUUUGUGUUCUAACUCCCUAAAUGUUUGCUGGUUUUGGUCUUAUUUUUGGCUUUCUACCAUCUGAUAGAGGCAGAGAUGGGCAAAAGGGGUAUUAGCAGUCCACAAGUGUUAUAACCUAAGUAGGAUAGUAGGAUAGAAAAGUGUAAAGAGGAAAAGACUUCUGAGUGCAUGAAGAUGAGAUAGAGCUUUGUGUAGGCGAGUUCACUUCCCCAAAAGCAGAAAAUCACAGAGAAGAAAUAAAAAGUAGGAAAUCACUUCUCUGGAUGUUUAAAUAUUGUCAUAAUUUUGAAAAAUGAUUUUUCUUUUUAAUAGCUUUUUUCUUAUUAAUGUAUUUCAUCAAAUGGGGGAAGAUUGGAGAAAGUGAGAAAAGGAGAGAAGAGAAGGAGGAGGACCAGGAGGAAGUUAGAGAGGGAGCAGGAAGAGGAAGACAACAGUUAUUAUUUAUCAGAUAUGGAAAACGAGGCAAAUGAAGGUCAAAUGUGUGGAAAAAAUGGGAUCUUCCACUCUUAGUUAUAAGCAUCAAGUAGUCAACAAUACAUUAAAAAAAGUAAGUGCCAGUGAAAGAACUGGUCUUGCCUACAUUCAAUUGAUAUUCAUAUGAGUAUUCAGAUUUGGCUGAUUUCUUUCACCUAUAAAAUGACAAAAAAAGUCAAGUAAUCCACUGUGUUGAGAAAUGACAUUCUGAAAGAAAAUUUCUUUCCUGAUUAAAAGCAAAUAAGGAAAAGUUAUUCUCCAGAGGUAGGGGAGAG